rnacentral:rRNA from 1 species
AUGCCGCCAGACCACGCCGCCGCCGGCGUCAGCCUGUCGCCGGAUAUGCUGGCCAACAUCCACGGCCGCCUGGGCUUCCCCGACCGCCUCGCCUUCGCCGCGGUCUUCAGCGCCUCGCGCCACGCCUUCAGGCCGGAGGCACCAUGCCUCCUCCUACCAGGCCGGACGCCGGAGACCGCCACGCUCUUCUCCGUCGCCGACCGCCGCACCGCCACCGUGCACGCCCCGAGCCCCGCGCUGCGCAGCCACGCCUUCAUCGGCUCCUCCCGCGGGUGGCUCGUCACCGCCGACGCCGACGCCGCGCUGCACCUGGUCAACCCGGUGACCGGCGAGCAGCGCGCGCUCCCGGCCAUCACCACCGUCCCCUGCGUCCACGCGCUCGAGGGGGGCUCCCACUUGGAGUUCACGCUGGAGCCCUUCACCAGGGGCCCGCCGUACCCCUACGGCCGCCAGCCGGUUGGCACCUUCACGCUGGCAGCCGAGCAGAUGCGCGGCUUCCUCUACCGCAAGGUCGUCCUCGCCCCCGCCGCCGCCGCAGCCAUGCUGGUCACUGGCGCGUGCUUGGGCGUGCCGGCCUUUGCGACGACGGAGGACGCCGCGUGGAUGCUGGCUCCCUCACGGGACGGCGUGGAGGACGCCAUCCACCACGAGGGCAGGUUCUACUCCCUCGGGUACUCCGGCGCCGUGGAGGCGUGGGAGCGCGACCCCGGCACCGGCGAGUUCGGCAGCACGGCCGUCACGCCAAGGCUGGGCGACGACGCGGCCGGCCAGCCGUGGCGCCGACGCAGGUACCUCGUGGCGGGGCCGGGCGGGCGGUUAAUGGUGGUGCUCAAGGAAUUCAAGCAGACGACGGGCUGGUGUGGCCAGCGCCGGCAGACGUGGUCCUUCAAGGUGUAUGUGCUCGACGGAGCCCAGUGGAAGGAGACGGAGGACAUCGGAGACGCGGCGCUGUUCGUGGGGGCGAACGAGUCCCUGUGCGUGUCCACCAGGGGGCGCCCGGAGCUCAGGGCCGGCUGCGUCUACUACACCGACGACGACGAUCUGGAGCGAGCGUCGCCGAGCAAGGACGACGACCAGCUUGCCGUCGGGGUGUUCAGCCUCAAGGACGGCACGGUGAAGAAGGUGUGGGGGCUGGUGAAGAAGGUGUGGGGGCUGAGGCGGCACCGGAGCUGGCCGCAGCCGGUGUGGCUCACGCCUUCCGCUUCCAUCUAA